AUAAAUGUAUUUCAAAAAAGAGGUAGCAGUAAAUAGAGAUCAAGAGGCAUCUUUUUUUUCUAUGCCAGUGGCAAAAUACAUGUUACCUUGUUCUACAAAUUUCUGGUUUAAUCUCGUCUUACAGACUCAGACGUAACAUUUUGUUUGAAGGCAUAUAAUAAAUUGUCACUUCACUGGAUAUACCAGGCUUACUCUCUUCCUUUUGCUUUUGUGCUCUGUACAUAUUUCAGUGACAUACACAAGGACUGUGGCUUUCCAGAGUUCAUUUUUCUUUUUGAGGUCAGAUUUCUGUCUUGCAAUAUUGUGGAGGAGCAAAAUGCCUCAAAAUGUAAUGACACAAUAUUUUUCUCAUCUUUCACAGAAGAAAUACUCUCCCUGCUUGUUUCCAGGGUUUUAGAAGAUUUGCCUGUAGAAUUAGGCAGUAUGAUAUUUCAUGGUAAUGAGAGUCUUCUUUACCAUUUGUUGUGGUGUCCAAUUUGAGGUUGCCUUUUAUACAAGUGAGUGACCUACAGGAGCCCAGAUCAUCAUCAAUAGCCCUGCUCUGGUCUUGCAAACUCAGGUCAACUAUAUACUUUUUGAAGCAAAUGGAACUGUGCCUUUGGCAUGCAUAUCCAACACAAGGCAGACAAGGAGACAGCGUCCGAGUCAACAUUCCCUCAGCAAAAGGAACCCCAAGGAGGUCAGCGGCAGUGGCAAUCGGGUCAUUCGGAUCUGAAGGCAAAUGUGAAGGAUACAAGAAGACGCAACCUUUGGAAGCAGGCCAUGGUUUCCUUUGGAGGGGAAGAAGCUUUACUGCAGCAUUAGAAAUGAGAUGUCAUGGACAAGAAAGAAAGAUUGUCUACAGAAAUGGGGAAAUUAAGAAAAUUCAACUGGUCUGCACUGGCAAUAGACAUCAAGCUCUCUGGUCUAAGGUGAAACCCAGUACACUAUCUCCAACUCUGGUGAGGACCGGAUGCUCAAGAAGA